GUAACUAAUGCAAAUUGAUUGUACAAACCAUGAAUUAAAUCAACCCCUUCAUUUCCAGUCCCCAUCCUCGAGUUUUGCAAUCUCACAACCGUCCACUCCGUGGAUGCCCUCCUCUUCGUGAUGCGUUACAAUCAAUCGAUCUCAAAUUCAGAUUCACAAUCUCCAACACCAACAGAAAUCAAAUCCAAUGGAGAAUAUGGUUCAAGAGGUUUGUGAUUCAAUCAUUUCACUUCAUACAAAGGUUACUAAUAAUCACAGACCUAAUUCAAGAGGGCACUUUCAAAUCUGGUUUUAGAGAGAGACUAGAGAAGUAGAGACAACCGGAAAGAUGCGACAGAAAGAUAAGAGAGAGAAGCCGCCGCACCAGCGAGCCACAUGCGGCGGUUUCCAUCGCCCCCUCUACUCUUUAAGAAAUAGGUAAAUAUGGCAAAUAUCAAUCUUCAGAUUAUCCAUUGAUUCUGCUCUAAUCUCUUCAAGGAAGAUGAUCAUGAUAGCACCUACCACUCUUCAACUUUACCUAUAGAAAUUAGGACUUCAGUGAUUUCUAUGACUUCAAUCACAAAGCCACUGAAGUUUUAGCGUCUGCAUUAUGGAACCUUGAAAUUAUAUUAUAAGAUGACAGAGUUAAAGGUGCAGAAAUUGCUUGGGCAUAUACUAUCGGUUCUGGCGUUGACAAUGUCUUCAAAGGGUGAUCAGGUAAGGGUGGCGUGUGCCUGUAUUUUAAUAUCACUUCGAAAAUUUUUCUAGCAUGUGGUAAAAUGCAUUGCUGAUUGGUUUAACGUGUGUUAUGUAAUUUCAUAUGUUUAAGGAAUUUUAUAAUCUGUUGGUAUAGGGUGAAUGUAUUCGUUAUUGUUUAAUCAUCAGAGUUUGUUUUGCUACCGAGUAUAAUGAGGCCAUUUUGUUAGGUGUGUGUUAUUGUUGAAAAUUUUUUUUCACCAUGAGUGUAUAUAUGAUGAGUAGAGGUGGUCUGGGUAAUGAAAACGUGAAAACCAUCAUAUAUACACUCCGCGGGUCAACUUCGAGUACUUCCAAUAGAGACCUGAGGCAUAUUUAAAUGCUACUAAAAAUAUAUUAGUUUAAAAUCACAACAGUAUAGUUGAUAUUUUACGGAGCCUGUAUUCCAAUUUUAACGAAAAUGUGAAAUAGUUGCAUGUGAAAGAUACGAAGUCGGUCUUAAAGCGUUUGCCAGCCAAGCUCUUAUAUGAUCUUAAUCUGGUGUAUGAAUGUGAACCAGUGCAACCUUUGGUUACAGAAAAGGGUUGUAGUUAGAACAUUCUUGGCGGCUACACGGGUGUCAAUGAGGCAGCUGAUCUGGUGGUAAUAGGUGGUUGAUAUGGCGGUGAUGUGAGAGUGUAAAAGGCUGCAUUUAGUGACCAAACGACAGCGAAGAACAUCGGUAUUGAGCUGCUAAAAUAGUGCAGCGAACAGGACAGCAACGUCGUGCAUUCAGGCGCGCUUUUGGGAUCAAAACAUUCAGUGUUUGGGUUCACAACCGCUUUUCGGGUUCGGGUUUGUGUUAGAUUUCCAGGUUUGCGCUGCAUUGGGUCAGUAUGGUACGUUUGUUUUAAAAGCUGGUUGAAUAGAAGUCUCAAAUGGGUUUGGCUUAAUAAGGUAACUGUUGGUACAGGGAAUGUAAAGUUUUUAACCCAUUUUUUAUUUUUUUUAUUAGUACUUGCUAAAACUGAACUUAUUUUUUAUGAAUUUUAUAUGCAUGCA